ensembl:lncRNA
CUGGUGUAAGAAAUAAUAACAGGGAGCCAUUCCCAUGCUCUCAAGAUUUCUUGUGACUGUUUGUAAGAUGUAUAGGCUAACCAAGAAAAAUGUCAACUGUUUUGUCUCUCUCACGCUUUUCUGUAUAAAUAUGAGAUGUUGAAUAAAGUUGGUGUCAGACUGCGUCCCUUCGUGGUGACGUGUCUGAACCUCUCGACCCCAUCUUUGUAGUCUCUUGCUUUAGUUUCUUUCUUAGCCCCGCCGUGCACGUUCUCGGGACCUGAUCGACUUUGCCGGCUGGCUCCGGCAGGUGGCGCCUGAACAGGGACCCGAGAAUCGGAGUGCAACGACGGCCGCUGCCCGCCAAGAUUGAGGAUGCCGAAGCGCCGCGCUGGCUGCCGGAAAGGUUGGUACGCACGGCGGAGACAGUCUCUAGCAAAUCAGAUGAGGAGAUUGACAAUUCAAGAGCAUGAUGAAUUACCAUCUCGGCAACAACUUCAGGCAUUGAUGCGAGAGGCACAGAAUCGUGUUGUGGUGCAGGGCGAUCCGAUAUCGCCUUUAAGCUUCCUGAUAACCUUAUUAAUUAUCUUAAAUCAGAUUAACACUGCACACUCUGAAGAAUAUUCAAAUGCUUACUGGGCUUAUUUUCCUGACCCUCCCCUUCUCCAACCUGUGGGCUGGGAGGGUCAGUCCAUUCCCAUAUACACUAAUAAAACUGUUUUAUUUCUUGCACCUUGUUUAAUUAAAAAACUGAUUGAUGAUCUAUGGAUCAUAAAGGCUUCCAUCUAUGAAAAUGGUCUGCAGUUAAAGGAACAUAAGCGUGUGCCUAUAUAAAAAGAAAGGGGGAGAUGCGGGGAGCUGCCCGUGAGAACGGGGUCCUUUGUCCGAAGGACACAGCUCUGGGAGCUGCCUCAGUCCUUGAGGGUUUGCUUGCAAACAUAGCUCUCUGUCCCGCCACCCCAGAGAUUAGGCGCUUAUUUACUGCAGGCACCUGGAGUUCUGUGCAAACUUCUCACGCACAGAGAAAUGUUAUCUGGUGUAAGAAAUAAUAACAGGGAGCCAUUCCCAUGCUCUCAAGAUUUCUUGUGACUGUUUGUAAGAUGUAUAGGCUAACCAAGAAAAAUGUCAACUGUUUUGUCUCUCUCACGCUUUUCUGUAUAAAUAUGAGAUGUUGAAUAAAGUUGGUGUCAGACUGCGUCCCUUCGUGGUGACGUGUCUGAACCUCUCGACCCC